ACCCCUACCCCAGAUCUUUGUGCCUUUGAAGUCCCGUCCUCCCCCACUAGCCCAGGUUCUGUCUCCAAGACAAUUCUCUCCUGAGGCCCAGCCUACCUGUUCUUCUCUACUAAAUAUGCUGCAGGCCUCAGAAUUCCCAGGUGUGUUCUCCAUCUAGAACUGACCUCUCCUUGAGAGAAUGAGAACACUAAAUCAGGAGAGGUGAAAUGAUCUGCUCCAAGGUCAUAGAGGUGUUAUGUAACCCAAUCUGGAUUUGAACUCGUGACUCUCAAUCCAGUGUUUCUCUCCAGGUUGGUAUAAUGAGAAAACAGCCUAAUACAAUGGGAAAACAUGAUCAACUACAAAAAGUAAAGGAAGAUAACGCUGAGCCAUCAGAACUCAGAUGGAUGUAAUCGUCAGUCUUGACUCCAUAUCCUCCUCUCUGGAGCAGUGGUAGACCACAAGAAGAGAAUGAAGGCGAUGCUGUCAGCUCCCUGUCUGGGGCAGAGGAUGCAUGGCAGAGCGGGCCAAUGGAGAGCAGGGGGCUUUCUCCAGAGCCAUUCCCAAGUGUAAACAGAGACCGCUUUGUAGCUAUCCUCUCAUCUGACGACUCAAAAAGGAAGUGCAUGGAUAGAUCCCUGGGUCCACUUCUGUGGUGUCUUCAGGGUUCUGUCCCCUCCUAAUCCACACAGCAGACACACCUUCCUCUCCCUCCUCUGUUCAUAUAUAUAUUCAGAGUCCCUUAGAAACUGAACUCAGGUGGCUCUUGGAAAAGGACAGGUUGACUUUUGUAGUUCAAUCAACUGCCUAUUUUCUGAUACUCCAAAUAAAUGUCAGAGGCAGGAUUCAAACUCAAGUCUUCUGUGGGACCAAGUAUACUCAUUCUACUCCAAUGUUCUCCUCGGCCCAAAUCUCUUUGAAUCAAUGCCUUAUUUAUUUUCUUAACCGGACCUUGGAAUUGAGAUUAAGUAGGGGAGACACAAGUAUCCACAUGCUGAUGACACCAAUGAAAAGAGUUGAAAGAAAAGAUAUCUUUGAAACCUGGUCCCUGAAUAUAUUAUUUUGCAAAAAGAAAAAGGUGAGCGGGCCAGGUGUGCACUAGCACACCUGUAAUCCCUGCUACUGGGGAAGCUGAGGCAGGAGGAACCUAUGAGCUCAGGACUUCUGCUCUGCAAUCUGCAGGAAGGCUGAUACCAAUAUAAUGAGCCUGAAAGAGCAGGAGCCAUCAGGAUGAGUAAACCUGACCAGGUCAGAAAUGGACUAGUUCAAAACUUCUGCCCUUAUCAGCAGUGGGAAGAGGCCCAUGAGUGGUCACUUACACCCUGAGAAGAUAGGGAGACUAUUGAAGAAGAAGAAGAAGAAAAUGAUGA